AUCAAAAGAAGUAUAUUUUGGGAUCUUCUAUAUUGGAAGGACAACUUGUUAAGGCACAACUUUGAUGUGAUGCACUCUAGACGAAUGUGUUUGAUAAUAUGUUUUACACUGUCAUGAAUGAUCCUACAAAGACAAAGGACAAUGAGAAGGCAAGAUUGGAUUUACCUCUUAACUGUUUACACGGGGAUUUAGAGAUGGUUACUCUACCUAAUGGAGAGAUGGCUAAGCCAAAGGCAAAAUUUUCUUUGACAUCCGAAGAGGCAAAGUUAGUAUGUAGAUGGAUUAAGGAACUAAAAAUGUCUGAUGGUUAUGCCUCGAAUCUUUCUAGGUGUGCUGAUGUCACCAAGGGUAGGAUGAAGGGGAUGAAAAGCCAUGGCUUUAAUUUAUUCUGA